rnacentral:lncRNA from 1 species
GAAAGUAAUUUAGAUUACCACCAUUUAUCAUUAUUAAUUAUUUGGUGAUUAUGCUCGUAAAAGGUCAAAUUGAUCGCACACCCUCUUGCUUACAGAAGACCCUCCCAUCUUCACUGUGUUUUCUGAUGCGGAAGGGAUUUAAAGUGAAGUCAUCACACCUGCUGUGGACCAUGUUUCCUUCAGAAGGGCAGAGGAAGAGAAAGAACCAUGGAGGGAGCUAAUUAACUCAAGGGCUUUACCUGAAAAGCUCCUGGUUGCAGCGCAAGGACC